GAGGAGAAUGUACUAAUGGAGAAUGUAGGAUCAAACACAUUUGUGUCUCAAGCUUCUGUUUUGUCUUCUUCUUUUCAAUGUAUAUAGAUGUGCUUUUUAUUUGUCGUCAGUGUUAUGUGUGAAAACAAAUUCAAGUUUUAACGGAUUGUACUCCAUAGGCUACAAAUGUCCUACCGUUUUGCACCGACAUGGAUAAUGAAGACGACUCAAUCAUCGUAGUUAAAUUCAUAUCAAAUUUGAUGUUCGAAAAGGAGGAACGGCAGAACAAGAUGUAGAAAUUUUAAUUAGUUAAGGAAUCACAGUGAUCUCAAACAAAUGAAUUAAAUGAGGUUUAACAUCCUACAUGAUCUGAAACAAUGUAUUAAUAAUGAUUACUCAACGUGAUCUUAAACAAUGUAUUAAUAAUGAUGAAUCAACGUGAUCUCAAACAAUGUAUUAAUAAUGAUGAAUCACGGUGAUCUUAAAGUAGCUAAGUCUCUAAAUCAAUAUCAUCAAAAAUCUUCCACAUUGAAAACACGAAUUAUUUGUCAGUUCAAAUCAACAUUGGUCUUGUGAUCUUCCAGGGAAAAGAUGGGCUUCUGUUAUCCAAUAUUCAAGACAAAAUAAACGUUUUACCAUUGGUACACGAAUCGUGUACCAUAAUGCGUUUCAUAGCCUUUUGGAACAAGGGACUCAAAGAACGCGGCUAGACAUAUUCCACAAGUCAUGUCAAAUGGUGACGCUAUAUUCUUAUCUGGAGAGCAUGUACAAUAAAUAUCAUCGGUGUAGACUGGAAUAACCAGACGCUAAAUACUGCUAUUGAUUGAGACUUCUGGCGUAUUUCGCAGAACAUAACUGAUUAGAAAUUACAGUAAAAACAGAAACGGUUGAAUGUAAAUCAGUUUAUAUACAUUCACAUUACAUUAUUAUAUGCUUUGUGACCCAUUUGUGUCAAUUUGUAGGUCCCAAAUAUUAGCGAUUUAGCUCCUUUAAACAAUGUAUUAAUAAUGAUUAAUCAACGUGAUCUUAAACAAUGUAUUAAUAAUGAUUAAUCAACGUGAUCUCAAACAAUGUAUUAAUAAUGAUGCUUCUGUUAAAAAGGUUUGUCGGAAAACAUAACUUCGAACCCCAAUUAAUCAACUUUGCUGUUUUCAUAUGAUCUGGUACGCUGGCACAAAAACACACAGCCAGUAUUUAUUCAAUGUUGCAUUAUUAUUAGGUGUUCGAAUAGAUAUUCCUGAUAAAUUAUCAUCAGACCCAACGUAUUUAGAGCGGUAAUGACAUUGGUAAAAGGACUUCAACUAAGCAUUUACACACGGAUCACUGAAUCUCAUAUGGUUAUACAGAAUUACAAAGAGUCGAACAACACCCUACCAGUCUCAGGGUAACUUUCAUGCAGAACUUUUAAGUAAAACAUAACAGAACACCCACCGUGUCCUAUCCUUGGAUAUCAAACUACGAUGGCCAGAACAUCCUUUAGUGAUUAAAUGUGCAUACUAUACAUCGAAUAGGUUUACGCCUAUUUUUCUUAUGUUUGAACGAAUCCGAUUUUGUUUUGUCAUGAUCAGAUUCGUGGAUUUUAUAUCACCAGAAACGUCUCCAGUAUUCUUACUCAAAGACGUGGGAAGUGAUCAGCAGAACACCGAUAUGAGCAGAGAUGGGGAUAAUCAGUAGAACACCGACAUGAGCAGGAUGGGAAAGUUCACGAUGCAAUAUAUACAUUUGGAUCCAGGCUAACUGGUAUUACUGUAAGGCAAAAGAUGUAUAAGCUGUUAACUCGUGUAUAUAUAUAUAAUAAUAACCAGUCAGUUAUCGAUAACCCAAGCGAAUUACAUGGUGUGUGAUAUGUAUAGUAAUUGCCCUAUUUGUCGCCUCGAUCACAAAGCGGUGGCAUUAAUAACCUUCCAUACAAAAUGGAAGACCGGAAAGCACAAACUACUAUUUCUAGUUUUGGUUUAUAGUUAGUCCCACACUAUUACCACCGUGUUGGAUAAAUGUUCAAAUGCCACAAGUACCAUGUAACUUACAAUUGAAAUCAAAAGAUCAAUACGAUAUAGAGAAACUAGCACACGCAGGUUGAUACCAUAUAAACAACCUUGGUUAUUAAACGGUUGCACUGGGGUAAAUCACUUAAAGCCGAAUGCUCUUAUUCCUAUUAAGUCUUUCAUUUCAAAAACAGGCCACCCUCAUCCGCAGGUAAAAUAUCAAAAUGGCGAGAAUGCCAAGCGAUCACUACAAGAAAAUUCAGAAAAAUUUGGGAUUUAUAUAUGAAAAUAUUAUAAAUAUCGAUGGUGUCAUAGAUUAUCUGUUCGAGAAAGAUGUUCUUUCUGAUGACCAACAGGGCCAAAUAGAGUCCAUACCAAAGGGCCGGAAAAGAGUAAAGGCAUUACUUGAUAUCGUGAUGACUGAGUGUGGUGAUUGUUAUUAUCUCUUUCUGGAAGCUCUUAAAACGAAGAACUUGAGGCAGAUUGCUGAUCGGAUAGACAGAGAUCCGGAUAACGAACCACCACCCGUUAGAAUGGAACCACCCGUAACAAGAUCACAAUCUAAAGUUAAAGUGGAAGGGGACCAAAUGAUUCCUGGACAUUUACAAAUAUGGACAAGACACCAAGAGGUUUUGGUGAAGAAAUUUAAAGGCGACAUAGAAGACUUGAUGCGGAAGUUGUUUUCGAAGAACAUAAUCAAUAUGGAUGAUAAGGAAAAGGUUCGAAGGGAAGUGCGAGAGAACUAUACAGAAGGUGGCGCAACUAAACUUUGGGAAAUUUUAAGCGAACGUGGUGAAAUGGUUCUACCCAGAAUAAUAGAAGCUCUGAAGACUAACUACGGCAGAGUCGCCGCAAUGCUAGAACACCAACUGGCGAAUUUGGAAGAAAGACGUUAUUCAGUCCCAAUUCAAGAAACAGGAAGCUGAAGUGGACGUCCUUAUGCAGUAUCAUUAUAUUACUUAAAGAUACAUUAUGUAAGAUUUAGAUAAAGACCUGGUCGUGCUUGCUAUUAUAGUUUAAAAACAUGAUAAUGUAUUGAAAAUUUCAUUCUAAUGACUUAAUUCUGAACCAAGUUAUCACAGUUUGUAGUUUCGACAGGAUGUGGGUAUUGGUUGUUUAUUAUCGUAACCAGCGUGACGUCUCCAUGUUUAAAUUAUAUCAUUAAAUGGCAGAACCGUUGUAAUCUAGUUAAACUCUGGAGUAUCUGAUGGCAUUGAGAGUUGAUUACGGUUUUGUUAUGUAUAUAAAUGUCUAAUUAAAAAACAUUAUGGGAGAUUCGCAAACGAGUUAGCAGUUCUUACUAUAAUAGUUGCAUUUCUAGAUAAUGUAAAGGCAAUGUGCUGAAAAUUUCAUUCAAAUUGAUCCACUAUGAAGCGAGAACUAAGCGUUUGAAAUUUCCGCCUAGACUCUGUCAUCAUUACUAAAGUCAGUACGAUAAACAGCAUAGUCGCGAUUAUCCACUUAAUCGUUAAAUCGUGAAGGACAGUUAUGCAGUAAAUCGGCUCAUAAUACACUUAAGAUCGCAGAAUAGCGAUGCCAGUUAGAGUUGAUUAUUGUCUGGAUAGGUUAAUUAAUGUCUAAUUAAUAAUUUAGAUAACAUUUCAGGCCUAAAGAAAGACCUGCAUCAGACAGAUUUAGCUCUUGCAUAAUGUAUGUUUAAUAAUUUAUAUAACAUUUAAGGCUAAAGAAAGACUUGCAAUUGGUAGAUUUAGCUCUUACAUAAUGUAUCGCUCUCGACCAUUAAAUCACACAUAUUUGUUCAUUAUUACUUCUAAAUUGAGUAAAGUAGGAUACCUCGAAUAAAACUUGAAACAUUGAGUACUAUAUGGGAACAUAACUCAGACUAACGAAUCAUAUUUUAAUUAAUGUCUCACCCUUGACCAUUGAACCAUACAGAUUAGUUCAUUAUUACCACGAUACUCGAUUGGACGUUAAACUCCAUUUCUCUCUCUCUCACCACGAUACUGAGUAAAAUCGGUUACCUCGAAUAAAGCUUGAAACUCAUAAAGGGAGGUAAACCGCUUUGAUUUAAUUUCAAAUAAAACGUUGAAGUGGGUUGAUUACAUUUGUUAAGUGGAUUAGAUAUAAUAAUAAUUUGGAGACUUUCUGAAUUUUCAUUAACUACAAAACAUGUUUUUUUGUUAUAUAGAUUAAAUAAUGUAUGUAGGCAUAACAUUAAAAGAACUAUCCUGACUGUUGGAAUGUUGAUAUAACGGUCUUUUUGGCAGAUUUAAUAAACAUCCAGUGAUCUAGAACCCAAUUAAACCUACUCUUAGUUUGCUCGUAGAUUUAAAUGUAGUCGUAUAUUAUAGUUACCGUGAUCCGCCCAUCUCUGUGGACGUUAUUGACUAUAUAUUAAUUUAUAAUUAAUUACCAACUAUUUCUCUACUAAUGUUUUGUAUAUAAAAUUUUUACCAGAUAAUUUAGGGAUUUUUUUUAGAUGUGGAACUUCGAUAAUAUUGGAGAACUAUGCCUGGACAAUUCUUAUUCCUAAAGGGAGGAGGGUAUUGUAUAUUAGGAAAGUGGCAUGGAUGUGCGUUAUAACCAAAAAAGUGGCAUGGAUGUGUGUUGUAACCAAGGAAGUGGCAUAAAUGGGCAUUAUAACCAAGGAAGUAGCAUGGAUGUACUCAACUUUGGAUCUAAAUUGCCAUUUUUUUACGUUUCGGUAUAACCAUAGAGAGACAUACCUAUGCUAAUUUUUUACCGGAUAUUUUAGUUUUUUUUUUUUAUGUGGAACUUUGAUAAUAUCGGAGAACUAUUAAUAGACAAUGCUUAUUCCUAAAGGGAGGAGGGUGUCAGCUGGAAAGUGCGUUAUGACCAAUAGUGGCAUGGAUGUGCAUUAUAACCAGAAAAGUGGCAUAGAUGUGCAUAAUAAUCAAGGACAUGGCAUAGAUGUUCUCAACUUUGGAUCGAAUUUGCAGUGUUUUAUGUUUCGGUAUAAACUUGAUGACUUCUGUAUAAAAAUUCUAUAAUGAUUUCUUAAGUCGAGUUCAUAUUAUUCACUGUAAUUUAUCGCCAGUAAACACAAUAUGACACGAUUCUAUUCUCCACUUUACAAUUAUCAUUAAUACUGUAGCAUAUAAUCAACAAAAUCAGCGGCAUCAGAGACAUAAAACAUUGAAAAACAUAACACAAUUUAUAUGGAAAAACAAUCACUGGUUUAUAUACAUAUAGCACGAGGUUUCGAUAAGUAUUCUCUCAUCGUUAUCAAGUACAAAUUCUCUUAUUCUUAUCAAGUACAGAGAAUACAUGUCGAAACGUUGUACUAUAUGCGUAUAAAAUGCCACUCAAGGGUUAUAUGACAUGAAACAUAUUUUGUAGUUACAUACUGUUCUGACAACUCCUUAAAUCCCCACCUUUGUGUAUUAUCAUAUGCGGAAUUACAUAUGUAACGUGUCCGUGUUGGGAAUAGCGUUGUUUAGUGAAUUAUGAGUGGGUGGGAUAGACAAUAUAACAAGUGAUCAAAUGAGUGACUGGGAAAGACAAUAUAACAAAGAGAUCAAAUGAGUGACUGGGAAAGACAAUAUAACAAAGAGAUCAAAUGAGUUGAGUGGGAUAGACAAUA